rnacentral:piRNA from 1 species
UGCCUGCAUCCCAAAGUCAGGGAGUUCUCCAC